GUGAAAACAAAAUUAAAUUAUCAUUUCUAUCUAGUUUGGGAAAUAUUUCCCAAACCAGGGUGAAUCUUUCUAGAUGGAUUUAAAUUUGCAACAUACCGACAAUAUGACUGUCGGCAAAGAUUAUCGCUGCUUUGCAUAUUGGUAUUAUGUAUUUAAAAAAUUAAAAAUACAAAGGUGGGAAUCUUGGACAACUCCUUGCAGCAUGCAGAUGGUGUAAAAGUUGGUAGUCUUGCUUUUUUAUCUUCCUACAAUAUGCAGGACAUUUAUGUGGCAUAUUAUAUUGGUA
rnacentral:misc_RNA from 1 species